AUCGAACGCUGGCGGAAUGCUUUACACAUGCAAGUUGAACGGCAGCACGGGUGCUUGCACCUGGUGGCGAGUGGCGAACGGGUGAGUAACAUAUCGGAACGUAUCCAAUAAUGGGGGAUAACUAAUCGAAAGGUUGGCUAAUACCGCAUACGCCCUACGGGGGAAAGCUAGGGACCUUCGGGCCUGGCGUUAAUGGAGCGGCCGAUAUCUGAUUAGCUAGUUGGUGGGGUAAUGGCCUACCAAGGCGACGAUCAGUAGCUGGUCUGAGAGGACGACCAGCCACACUGGAACUGAGACACGGUCCAGACUCCUACGGGAGGCAGCAGUGGGGAAUUUUGGACAAUGGGCGCAAGCCUGAUCCAGCCAUUCCGCGUGAGUGAAGAAGGCCUUCGGGUUGUAAAGCUCUUUCGCAAGGGAAGAAAACUUAUCCUCUAACAUAGGAUGAGGUUGACGGUACCUUGAUAAGAAGCACCGGCUAACUACGUGCCAGCAGCCGCGGUAAUAC
rnacentral:rRNA from 1 species